GUGUGAAAUUGAGCACACACACCUGCUGAAUUUAAGCAUAUAAGUAAGUGGAGGAAGUCAAACAAAAAUGGGUUCCUCCAGUAGCUGCGAGUGAAGAUGGAAUAGGGCAACUUGGAAUUUGGGGGUUUGUCCCUCUGAAAUGCAUGUCUGAAUGUGUUGCCAAUUGAGGCGCAAGUGUGAGCCUUUUCUGGGAAAAAACAGAAUCAACCAGCUUCAAUAAGGGUGACAAGCCCAGUGGGCACUUGUGGACCUCUGUUUACGGCGUAGAUUUGCAGAAUCACGCUCCUUGGAACUGGAGUGCAAAGAGGGUGGUAAAUCUCAUGCAAGGGUGAAUACAUCCAUGGGACUGAUAGAGGAAAAGUACCGCGAGGGAACUAUGAAAAGGACUUUGAAAAGAGAAUUAAAAAGAGCCUGCGCUUGCUGUAUGAAAAGCACACAGAAUAGCAAAAGGUUUUGAAAGACUGCUGCGUGGUCUUUUGAAUGGUCCAUGCUCCUUUGAAGAUGGAGUUGUUGUGGUCUGCAUGUGUGUUGUGUGUGGAGGUUCUUUGUUUACGUGCCAGUUCCAGUUGCCAGAAAUAGAUCCUGCACGUAUUGUGAUGUGUGCCUCCAAGUUUGUCAUUGUGCGUGUGAGAUGAUGUGUAAAUUGCUGAGGAUCUGGGUCCUGGUGGGGCUGUUGAAGGCUGCCCAUGCCCCUUGCUGGAGGACUGCAGAAACCCUGGUCCAACCGUCUGACUAGCCACUUCUGUGUGACCCGUCUUGAAACACGGACCAAGGAGUCUAACAAGUUUGCAAGUUGAUGAGUGUGCAGAUUGAAUGUUGAAUGAAAGUGUUAGCCCAGAUUUUUGCAUGUGCGUUCAACCAAUCGCUUGGGCAUGGUUUGAGUCUAAGCAUCUGUGUUAGGACCCGAAAGAUGGUGAACUAUGCCCGAAUAGGGCCAAGUCAGGGGAAACUCUGAUGGAGGCUUGCAGUGGUACUGACGUGCAAAUCGUUCGUCACAA
rnacentral:rRNA from 1 species